CAUUUGGAACAGAUUUACCUGCAUGCUACAGGUUGCUAAACUCAGUUUAGCCAGCCAGUUAGAGUGAAUUUAUCGUAUCUUUGGUGUACCUUGGAUCAUUGGAGCAACACAAAAGGGUCAGACUUCAUCAGUAAAUUUGACCCUCUCGGCAAAUUUCAGAGAGGAACCUUAAAAACAUGUGCAUACUUUUGUACAAGACAAGUUUGUGGCACUCCUCCAGUGCUGCAAAUACAGAGUAGAUCAUUGAAGGCACCUGGGUCACACCAGAUUUACACCCAAGCUUCUUGAACCACAAAACAUGCACUUUCAACUGAGGGUCAAAAACACCUUCUUGGGCAGUGAACAAAGUGAUCCACAAAUGAGCCACCAGGAGGACAUGGGCACGUGAAAAUUUGAUGAAUCUGACUGGUCUCCGUCUGCCUGCCCAAAAGCCCUACAGACACACCAACUGUUGGGUCUAAGCUGCACUUCGGCUCCAUCUGUUCCAGCAGGAGGUCAAAGGAGCGAAAAGGGGUUGGUCCAGCUGCCCUGGGGAAAGAUGGGAAGCUGGAAGCCUGUGCCCAAAUCUCAGGACAGCACCUGGAGCAGCCAUAGUGGACUCAGCUGGGUGGUACAUAACAAGCCCAGGGGACCAGAACUGCAAUGUGCUGCUGGAACUGAUGGAGCUCUCCUUUAGUGUGUCAAUGGGGGCCAGUGCACAGCCGUGCCAGGGUGAGGAUGCAGGAUAAAAUGGACUAAAAGUGC